rnacentral:rRNA from 1 species
GAUGAACGCUGGCGGCGUGCCUAAUACAUGCAAGUCGAGCGAACAGACGAGGAGCUUGCUCCUCUGACGUUAGCGGCGGACGGGUGAGUAACACGUGGAUAACCUACCUAUAAGACUGGGAUAACUUCGGGAAACCGGAGCUAAUACCGGAUAAUCUAUUGAACCGCAUGGUUCAAUAGUGAAAGACGGUUUUGCUGUCACUUAUAGAUGGAUCCGCGCCGCAUUAGCUAGUUGGUAAGGUAACGGCUUACCAAGGCAACGAUGCGUAGCCGACCUGAGGGGGUGAUCGGCCACACUGGAACUGAGACACGGUCCAGACUCCUACGGGAGGCAGCAGUAGGGAAUCUUCCGCAAUGGGCGAAAGCCUGACGGAGCAACGCCGCGUGAGUGAUGAAGGUCUUCGGAUCGUAAAACUCUGUUAUUAGUGAAGAACAAAUGUGUAAGUAACUAUGCACGUCUUGACGGUACCUAAUCAGAAAGCCACGGCUAACUACGUG